rnacentral:lncRNA from 1 species
UUCUUAUAAGGACAAUAUUUAAUUGGGGCUGGCUUACAACUUCAGAGGUUCAGUCCAUUAGUAUCAAGGUAGGAGCAUGGCAGCAUCCAGGCAGGCACGGUGCAGGAGACCCUGAGAGUUCUACAUCUUCAUGGAAGGUUGCUGGUAGAAGACUGAGUUCAGGCAGCUAGGAUGAAGGUCUUAAAGCCCACACCCACAGUGACACACCUACUCCAACAGGGCCACACCCUCUCUCUCUAAUAGUGCCAUCCCUGGGCUGAGUACAUCCACCAUGCCUGGACUUGUUUCUAGACUCUUUUCCAUGUUUUAGUAUUCUUCUUUUUAAUGGUUGGAUGACAUUGCACUCAAAGGCUUGAAUGCAUUGUAUUUUUCCAUCUGUUGAUGGACAGCGCAUUGUCUGCACCUCUAGGCUGCUGUGAGGGACUUUGAUUCCUGAGUGAAUGACCCCAGGGAAGGUGUCAGUCCAUGGCCGUUUCUCCACACAGCAGCGGCGAUGGUGGCAGAAUGGCCUGAAUGAUGUCCAUGGUGUGAAUAUAGACAGUAUCUUUCUUGUUUCUUGGUCCAUCGCCUUGGGGGAGCCACCUCGGUUUCUGUUAGUCUCAUUUUCCAUCUCUCAGGUCCAGAUCACGAGACCAAGCCCCCACCCCUGUAAGCACGUUUGUCGGUUACACCUGGCUGAGGCCCUGUGCCACCGGAAGAGAGGCCUCAGUGAUCAAGAAAUAAAAGCGUAAAGAAGAUGGAAUAUGCUGAGAUGGUGGACAGAAACUCCCAGCUGUCUGCUGCUGGAGUGCCUUUGGAAUCCCAAGGAUGGGAAAAGAAAGAGGAAGGGCUGGGCGGAGCUCCGAGGUGGACAGAGUACGAUCCGUUGUUCGUCCAGCUACGGACCAGAGCCACUCCAUUUGAGCAGCCACUGAGUUUGCUCCCAUCUCUGUAAGCAGGAGAGGGGCUCACAGCAGAUGGCCAGAAUGAACAGGAGUCGGGGUUCUGGCUCAGGGCUGUGUAAUUCUUGUGUUUUGUUUAUGGAGAGGAAAGAGGAUCCCUUUUCCUGGGAACUUAGAAAGAAACGGAAGGUUUGGACAGGUCUGAGCUGGUCUGCCCCCCUUAUCUCCGCCUUCACACCGGACACACCCACACACGGGAACCUAGGAGUUCAUCUCCGGGUUAUGCAAACAGUAGUGGGUUGCCUGCAAGUUGUGCAUGGAGCCAGGGAUGCACUUUCCUGAGCUGUCCUCCAGGCUGAACACACACACACACGCACGUGCAUAAAAUAAAAAAGUACCUUCAAGUGGGUUGAAUGGCAUCUUCAGAAUGACAUUGUCCACUUGUUGUGCGCCAACAUUCCAGAGCAAAAGCAGACUGAGCAUACCCACCCACCCCCCAACCCCAAUGUAGCCCAGCUGUGGGAACCAGUCUACCAUCUAGGGCAAGUGUCUGUUGGUGCAGGGCAUGUUCUCGGCCAUGUCCUAUGACCAGACAUUUCCAAAGGAAGCUGUAACUUCCACCCAGCCUUCUGAUGAACUGAUUAGAACUCAGUUCCGUGGAGAGGUUGGAAUGAUGCAGGUCCAGAGGAUAAUUAUCAUUUAUUGUGGGCUAUUUUUAGUCCUCACACAGGUCUAUCUCUGACAUAAUAUCCAUUUACUAAGAGAUAAACCCUUUCAGAAUGUGCCAGCUUAUCAAGAAUCCUAGUUUCCACCAGCUGAAAAGCUAGUGAUGCCAUCAGACAGCAUGGAGACCUAGAACUGACCUGUCCACUCUUGGCUUUAUCCUGCCUGCCUAUGUUUCCACCAACGUAUCUGAAAAGUCUUGCUUUAUGCUUUUUCUUUGUUCUGUUGCUAUGGAAACUGCUUCCACCUUAGAACAUGGAAUUUGGAGUAGCCAGAAUGUUUUCCUGGCUGUGGUCACUCACGGAAUGGACUGACUCUUUUCUCCUGUAAUUCUUAUUGAUAAGAUUAACCAACAGCCUACAGUCUGGCUUAAAGUGGAGGGAAUUAACCAACAGCCUACAACCUGGCUUAAAGUGGAGGGAAAGAAUGUGCCCCCUCAUCUUUAUGUAUGGCCGAAGGAAUAAUGAGUACUGGAGACACAGAGACAUGAAGACACAGGAAGGGUGUUUCAGGAGAGACAGUAGCCACAAGCCAGGGACUACAGGCAACCCUUGGAUGACUGGAAAUAGGAAAAGGGCAAGGCUUAAUAGUCUUCAGAGAGGCAUCCUUGUCCUUGUGGGAGUUUGCAGCCCAGGAGAGGGUUGCUUGCACAGAGCGCGUGGUGGUCAGCCCAUGUUCGGGCAGCCUCGGAGGAUGGGAGACUUUAAUGGAUGUGCCUUCCGAUAUUUCUAGGAGCCCCGAUCUCACAGUAAAGCUCAACUGCCUGAAACCAGACUUCAUGAGCAGCCACAGAGAAGGGCAUUUUGAGGAGGACGUAUCUUUCUGAUUGGAUUUGAUUUUAGCACUUCUGACCUCCAUAUCCAUUAGAUAAGGACUAUGGAGAAGUUUUGCUCAAUGGCUGAAGCUUGCAGAGGGAAGAUAUUUAUCAAAUUAAUUUCCCAGGCUUUGUUCCGGUAAAAAAAAGAGUCAGCUGAUGCUUCAAAGAAUGUUAAACUUCUAAUUCAAAGAUUCGCCCCGCCUCCGUCUCCCCCUGGUUUUUCUUUCCUGCUCAGUUUAUCCACUACAAAAAUUAAAUACAGCAGGGAUAGACUGAUCGUGGCUGAUCUCAUCCAUCGGGGCUGCAGCUGAUAUUCAAGGAAAUACAAGCCUGGAAUUGGGAGCCUCAUCGUGCAGCUUGGUGGUUCCCACAAUGAGGCUGAGGUCACACGGAUCACAAGAAGUCAGUGUGUGUGUGACAUAAAACUG